ensembl:lncRNA
GGAGCAUUUCUGGGUUGGCCAUUUAGUAGAUCUGUGUGGGCACCUCGGUCCCACCUGUGCAGGCACACAGCCAGCAUCAGUGAGAGGAGGAAUGCGUGAGUGAUUUAGUCUGACUCUGCCACUUGGAAAGCUCCUUAUCUGAAAUAGUCACAAUCGUGUUCACAACCCAAUCCUAGAUCUUAGAGCUGAAAAGAACCUCUAGGCAUCUUUGAGUGUGUUGAUCUACUUUCAACAGCCCAAAUGUUACUAGCCACGUUUGAAGAAUAAAGUCACUGAUAUCAGGAAGUUAAAAGUAACUGUCUCAGUUUUGUGCUCCAGAACUGACUGAAGACAGUGGAGAACAGAAACCAGAGGCCUUAGGAGCAAGACCCAACAGGAAUGAAGACCACACAUCUCAGGAAUCAUAAAACCAAGACCCUAAGGCCUGGGAGUCAUAAGCAACUUGCCAAGGUCACAGGACUGAUCUCACGGGAAGGUCCCCGACGUGGGCCUGGCGGACGGACGCAGCCCUCUCCCGCGGCGACACGCGCCGAUCUAGCAUCCAGUUGUCGCUCUGUCCGUUCCUCCGCUAAUGCCAUCUUGCCGGAGACGGUCACAUGCAGACGACAGCAUCGCGCUUCACCUCGGACGCCAAAAACGAUACCAGGACGCCACCAAGUUCGCUGGACUCCGUCCUCAAC